UUUUGUGGCACCUUUACUCUCUGCUCCGUGUCUGCACACCUGUUCCUCGUUUAAUUAGUUGUAUUUAGUUCCACCUGAGUCCCUCCUUCACUGCUUCAUCAUUAUUCUUUUUUGACGGAUGUGGAUCGGACGGGUUUUAUUCGCAACAGACGAUCCAUCUGGACUGGACCAUUUGAAGGACUGCUUGCAGGACAUAAAAGAGUGGAUGUCAAAAUUUCCUGCAGCUCAAUGACAGAGUGAAAUUCUUCUGUUCGGGAACUCCAACCCCCCAACUGUGCACAAUAGCCAAGAUCAAGUAUGUCCUCUCCCCCAGUGACUUAGAGGGUCGUGUUCAUGCUCAUCUUCUGCAGACUGGACUAAUGGAAUGCCCUCUAUGCUGGGGUCACUGACAAGACCAUAUAUAGCAUGCAGUUGGUACAAAAUGCUGGUGACAGGCACAAAAAGGAGGGAACACAUUUCUCCCAUCCUCUCCUCCCUUCACUGGCUCCUGGUGAAGCACAGAGUGAAAUUUAAGAUCCUUACGUAUGUCUUCAAAGCGCUCCGUGGUCUUACCCCAGCUUACAUCAAACAUCUCCUGGACCAACCUAUCAGCUCCAGGCUUGGUCGUUGCCUCAGAUCUGACAACCAGAUGACCUUGAAGGUCUCACAGUCAAACCUAGUGACAAAGAGAGACUGUGCAUUUUCAAUGACGGUACCUGGCCUAUGGAAUAAGCUCCCCCUGAAAGUCAAGUCCGCCACCACUCUGGACACUUUUAGAGCACAGCUUAAAACUCACCUCUUUGCCGCAAAUGACUUGAUUUGUGUUCAUGUGUCUUAAAUGUUUGUUCUAAAUUCCUUUUGUGUCCCUGUUUUUUUUUUUGUUUCUCCACUCAGGCUGCACCCCAGGCUGAUGUAAUGGUUCCUUGUGUGGGUGCAAUAAUUGAAAAUAACUAAACUUUUUUUUGUUUCUUCAAGGUCAAUUUUGUGGAGUCUGGUCUACAAUACAAAGUCUAUGUAUAUUUUCUUUUUUUUUUAUCUUUUUUUUUAUCUUCAAGGUAAAUUUUGGGGGUCUAGUCAUCUACAAUACGUCAAAAUGUAUUUCAUUUGUCAUGUUUUUUGUUAUCUACAAGGUCAAUUUUAAGGAGUCUGUUCAUCUACAGUGCAAGGUAAAUUUGUAUUUUGUCAUGGUUUUUAACUACAAGGUCAGUAUGUAAUCAACUUGUGUCACUGUUUUUGUUUCCUCAUGGUUUUUGAUAUCUACAAUACAAGGUAAAUGUAUUUUUUUGUAAUGGUUUUUAUCUUAGAAGUCAAUUUUGUGGGGUCUAGUCAUCUACAAUACAGGGUCAGUAUGUAUUUAACCUGUGUCACUGUGUUUCCUCAUGGUUUGUGAUAUCUACAAUACAAGGUCAAUAUGUAUUUCAUUUGUCAUGGUUUUUGUUAUCUACAAGGUCAAUUUUAAGGAGUCUGUUCAUCUACAAUACAAGGUAAAUUUGUAUUUUAUUUGUCAUGGUUUUUAACUACAAGGUCAGUAUGUAUUUAACUUGUGUCACUGUUUUUGUUUCCUCAUGGUUUUUGAUAUCUACAAUACAAGGUCGAUAUGUAU